CGGCUGAGGUAAUUCCAGCGCCGAGGGUGGAGGGAACGCGGGUCGCCCCCGCUGCCCGAGGGGCGACAGACCCUUUUCUCUCCCAGACUUUCGGGAGCGUUGUCCCGGAGGCUGCCCACGGGGAUGGGGGCUGCGGCGGGCGAGGCUCCUCGGGACACCCUCUUCCUUCUGGGUCGCCCGCCUGAUUGCAAUAAUUGAGGCCGGCUAGGCGGGGGUGUUCCCCUAAUAAGCCCCUGCGCUUCCCCGCUGGGGUGUUGCUGCCGUUUCACUGUGUGCUUCCCUCGCUACCGUCUGCGAAGGUCAUAGUUAGUAUCAGAACAGCUACCCUGAGCCGGUCCCUCUGUCACUCUAGCAGUGUGCCUAGCAGAUUCCUGGAAGACGGUGAUUCCUCCUGGUGAAGAUCUCCUUGUUCCAGGGAUAUGGGAGGCCCUGAACCACAUGCAGUGGCUGGAAUAUUUUACAGGAAACCCUACAAGGAUGUUUGGCUGCAGAGAAGUAAGACUGCAAGCUAGGACAUCCGCUUUGAAAACACCCCAGAAGCAGACCCACUUCAUGAAGCCUGAAUCUGUACUGCUGUCCCCAGGAAGGUCUGGAGCUUCUGAAUUUGAAAAAGCAGUAAAAAAGCAGAAGUCCAUACUAGGAAAAAAGCUGUUCUGUAUAGCAUGAUAACCCUGUCAGGAAACAGAAGAGAAAGUCCUGCCUGAUCUAAAGCUGUGGAAAACCUUGAACUCACAAGAAAAGGCUCACUGGCAGUUUCGGAGAAACAAGAGGAUAAACAUAAAACUGAUCUUCCAUCCAUACAAUGGCACCUUAGAGGGUCUGAGAGAAAGUUCCAGUCAAAUCCACAUGCAUUCAGACAAAAUCUCUGGAUUUCUCCUUAGUGUUUAUCAAGGCAGCAAUGUUUGGACCUUUGCCAACACUGGCUGGGUCGGCAGCUGCUGUGAAUCACCCCUGAGAGGAGCCCAGGUUGGACCAUGUAUGACUUCCACUUCGGGCUCAUCUUGAAAUAUAUGUAUUUUUGAACCCCACACUUUCCGCAGUCAUUAACUGUCUAGAUCCGAGCCUGAUUGUACUAUUCACUCAACCUGUGUGCUGGCAAGAAGCUGUAUGACAUAAAAAGACGUCAGACUGCACAACCUGAAGCAACAGCAGCUUUAUACCCAUUGACAGAACGAGGAUUUGAUUUCUCUGAGGUUGCAGAAGACUUUGGACAGCGACAAGAAUCUUUACUUUGUGUGAAUACCCUACGCCAUUCUUCUUCUUGUCCGUAAGGCUAUUCCAGAUCUGGGAGUACUUUUGGGUAAAGGUGAUGAAGGAGAAAGAGUGGGUUGGAAUGAAAUUGUGAUGACUGUGUUUACAUAGUCAAAUUUGUUGCAAAAGGGACUAUUAUAACCUCUUCUCCAUCACAUAAAAUAGGCCAAGAAGUGGGACUUAAAUUAUAGUAGCAAAGAUUCAGAUUAGACUUUAAAAAAAAAACCAAAACAACCCAACUUUUAUAAUAGUAAGAUAAUAAAGCACUGAAAUAUAUUGCCUGGGAAAUUUUGAAGUCUCUGUCAUUGGAGAUCUGCAGGAACAGGUUAACAACAGCUGUCCGGAGUUAUACAGAUACACUUGUCCCAAAUCCCAGCGUUUCUUUUUCUGUUAUACAAACAAAACUUCUGUGUCACCAAUCAGAGUUUGCAUUCUAGGGUUUGGCCCAUAUUGUUUUCGCUUUAUCCACCUUCAUGAGUAGCCAGCAGUUACAUAAUUUAUAUAAUGUGUAACUCCAUGAAAAUAUGAAGGCCACACUGACAGAUAGUAAACCAUAUGUUAUAUUUCAAAUCAUAUACUUAUGGAUACAUUUCUGGUUUUUUGUUCGGUUUUCAUUUUUUGUAUGUAAUACAUUAUUUUUGCAUGACUUGUGGAUACUUUGUUCUUUGGUUACGUCUUUAAAAUGGUGCUAAACAAAAGACAAAUAAUAUUUUAUGUGAAAUAUUACCUUUUUUUUUUUUACAUUUACAUCCCCACUGAAUCCUUCUAGCUCAUGGAAUUUAUUGCAAGCAUUAAAGUAAACGCAAGUAUUCAGAAAAGCUGUGAAAUCUGAAGAGGUAGCAAGCUUCCAAACUGACUCGGGAAGGUCAAGCCAUAUCAAAUAAGCAGGGGAAAACCAGAAAUGGCAUAUAGAAAGCAAGGAGAAUGGUAUGGCAUGCUGGGGUGGCAUUGUUUGCUGAAUAAAGUGGAUAUUUUGCAUCUUGAAAAUGGAAGAAGCAAUAAAGUUUGGACUUAACCUAGAUGACAAAAAAAGUAGGUAUGUUAACCAGUUGUACUGGAUUAGGCCCAAAACUGUAACGAGGAGAGGUGGUGGGAAGAUGUUUGGCUAAUGAAACAGUUUGUCUGUUGGUGGAAACCACAGUCUGAUCCAGUGUUCAGGGUGUUUGAUGUAAUUCCUAUAAGAAGCACAUUUUAAAUGUGAUUAAGGUUCCCUCAUAGGAAAAAAGUGUUACAGUGAAAGUAAAAAAGUGAAGUAUAAGUGUUAAGAAUAACUUUCCACAAAGAAAGAUUUCCCAAGAAUCCUUUGUUGUUCCUUAUUAAAAAGGUGAGAUGUAGGUUAUAAAAGAGAGUGAUACAGUUUGAUACAGACAUUUAGUUAGUGUGGGCCUUGGUUGUUCAAAUCAUAGCUAUAACUCCUCUGUGUUGCAGUUUGUCAUAUUUCAUAUCAAAUUAUCUAAGGCCACACAAUCUAUGUUCUAUAGAUGCUUGUAUGUGCAUACAGUCAUGUACACGCUCAUUUGCAGUGAUUUCUGGUCUAGCAUAGUUUUGUAAAGACCUCCAGCUCAAUAGCAUUAAAGAUGAUAAAUAAAUGUAAGGGGAAAGUACCAAAGUUAAUAGUGAUGCAUAAAAUAACCAUGGUUUCCAACAUUUUACAAAGAGGUCCCUCCUCAGCUUAAUGCGUGCUGAUUAUGAUCAGUUCUAUAAAACAUUUCCCUCUCAUCUCACUACCCCAUAUCUGCAGUUUUUCCUUAUUAUGUCUAUUCUCCUUAAAAUCCAAUUUUCUAGUUAUACUAGUGUUUAUUAAAAGCUUGACUGUAAGGUCUUUGUUUACCCAAAGAUCUAUUUUUAUCAUAACUGUUUAUAAUGGUUAAACCUCAACAACUUAAACACUUUACACAAAAUAAUGCAUUUUCAAUAAAUUGAAAUAUUAACCAAUCAUAUGUAAUGGUUCAGUUCUAGCAAAUGGAUUGCUAGAAAUCCUUAGGGUUUCAUAUAAAUUGAAAACUGUAUUGACUGACCAGGCUGCACUCGAAUUACAUUGCAUUUGGAUCAAAAAGCAUAGAAAAAGUUCUCAUUAUAGUUCCCUGACAUUAAUUUGAGCAUUUUUAUAUGUGUGUCCUAUUAAGUACUUUAAGUGCUUUUUGAUAAUUGUGCUUUGUAGUUUUUACAGCACUUCAGCCUAUUCCCAGUUCAAUUUCCUCUUUUAUCCGAUGUUUGAAAUAUUGAUUUCUGACAGAUAAAAGCAAACCUUAUAAUCUCAGCAGCAUGCAAUAAGUGAGUAAGACGGGGCUACAGAAUGCAUCAGGGAAUGGUCAUAUUUGAAACCGUCUUUGUUUUAUUACAUUUCGUCAACAGAAUUUACUUACCGCUUGCUGAUAUAUAUGUAAAAGCAGGACUCCUGAUAGUCCAGUGAUAUUACUAGUUCCUGGUAUACUUUUGCAUUUAGUAAGAUAAAAGAAGAAACUCCCUUGGUGGUUGAUGAUUGCAGCUGCUUAAACUGCUGUCAGCUGGCUUGAAGUAACUGUGAUUUAUCUUCUUCAGAUUGUGCAGCGUCGUGUCCGUGAACUUCCAGAGUUUGCAUUAAAAACUGACAGAACAUUGAGAGUGCCAGAAGCUUCUCAUAUUGCGGCUCUGAAGAUGUCUCUUUUCUUCAUGGAACCGGGAAUCAUCUGAAAAUGAAGGAUAAGUAGGAUGGGAAGAGAAGACUCCUGAAAAAGUGGAAACCUGAAGAAUACGUAUCCUGAAAAAAUGGGAUUCUUGGAUAGUUGCAGUUGUGAAAGAAAGUGGGUAUUUUGCUACUUAAUACGGUUCCCAAGUCCACGUCUGGCCAUAACAGUUCCACGGCUCUUCUCCAAGUCCAGGCAGGAAGAGUUUUUCAGAGGACAUUGUUCAUUUGUAUAAACUCAUCGUUGGACUCUGAUACAUGCACAUGUAAGCAUCACAAAGUAGUCUUCGUGCACAACCUUGAAUCUUUCUGGAAUCCAGUGAGUGCAAUUCUUCUAGAGACAUCUUCAGGUAUUCACCAACUUCUGGACAUGGGGUAACUUGGGGAAUGUUAAAGCCAUUCUGACCUCCUUUUAACCAUAAGGAAAGAAAGAGAAACGGAUUAGGAUAGCAUCGACAUCUAUUUACUCUUUAUAAUGUAAUAAUGUACUCCAGCUCAAAUGCUUCUGACAACUGGUAAGAGCUGAUGAAUUCAUAAAGCACGAGUGUCUGUACCUGACUUGCAAGACUAAGGCAGUGUUUGCUACUCCCAUUUUCCAUGUAGAAAUGAAAAAAUUCAAACAACAGAAGUAUGGACAUCCACGAUACUGUUCCCCACCAGACAUUUUUAGGUUAUAGCACUAGCUGAAGAAAAAUAUUUGUGAUACAAAAAUCCCUAAGGUUCAACAGGAGAUAAAUCUAGUGAGUAUCUCCUGUGAUGUACAUUCCUGAAAUUAAGUGGUUCUUUACAGACUUCAGUCGUACACAUUUCAAGCACUCCAAAACAAAGCUUCGUUGCCUUCUGGUUGUUGUAAGGAGACUUUAAUCCUGUAGCAGUUUCAUUUUUAAUAGGAGGCACGAUUCUUCUCCCCCACUCCCCAAAAUCACACUGUAACAGAGGGGCUCAAGAAUUCUUCGUACGAAGAACUGUUACUCUGAGUCUGACACUUGCAUGUAUUCCUGUUUUUCUCAGACACCAGAAUGAAAUAGUGCUUAAAUAAGGACUCUGUUCAAUGCAGCACAAUCUAAGAGAACACUUGUUUUACUGACAUUUGUGUUAUUACAGGGUAACAGUUUUCCACUGGUAACUCUAAAGAGGUUCAAAAGAACUGCAUAAAUGGUGCAAUGUGUGACUAUUUUUUAUGCUAAAGACAACCUACACUAAGUCAUUUCAGCAAAAGCAAUAAAACUAUUUUCAUACUACCUGAUAAUUGUGUACGUCUGCUUAAAUAUAGACUGACAGAACAUAUUCCUGCAAUUGAUUAUUUGAAGGGGAUUCUCUCUGCCAAACUUGCAAAGUAUAGAAACAUGUGUAAGAAGUCUUGCUAAAAAACUUCUGCGCUUAACUUCUCUACCAUCUAUUUACCAAGGUAUCCAAUUUAGGUGAAAUUCAGCUGAUGCAAAUCAGUGGCUGCUAUGAAAUCAAUGCACUGAGGUAAGGCUGAGUCAAGAUUAGUGUCCCAGCUUCAUGUACGUCAAGUUAAAUGAUAGUAAUAUCCCCAAAACAUUA